UUUCCACAAAUAUGGCCGACAAUGAUGGCUGAUCCUCUUCGUCGACCUGACCAAGUGUCUCCUAAGUCGAGCCCCCGGGACAGGGGCUCGAGGUCCCCAGCCUACCCUAGACAAGACUCAACAGGGACCCUCAAGACAACCAUAAGCCUGGGAAAAAUCCCUUCCGUUAUUCACACCGGACCCUUCUACUUGAUGAAAGAUGUUCCGGAACCUGCUGAGAUCACCGGCAGCACCAAUUUACUGUCACAGUAUGGGCUUGAGCACUCCUACAGCAAGUUCUGUGGCAAGAAAGUUAAAGAGGAACUCAGCGCAUUCCUCCCUCAUCUUCCAGGCAACAUCGACAGUCCCGGGAUGCAAGACAACAGUUCACUGCGGUCGUUGAUAGAGAAGCCGCCAAUCAUAGGCAAAGAGUUAUCUUCCCUUGCUGGGUCUGCUCUGACUGGGUUCCGGCUCCACCCAGGACCGCUUCCGGAGCAGUAUCAGCUGUUGAACCAGAUGACCCAGAAGAGGAAGCACAAGAGGAAGAAGAAGCACAAGGAAGGGGAGAAGGGGAGUGCACUCCAGGAAACUCAGACUGAAAAUGCAGCUGAUGCGGAAGCUAAGAAAGUGAAGAAACCAAGGAAGGAUGAAGACAACAGCAAGGACAAUAGCAAGAAGAAGGAGAAGAAGAAGAAGAAAAAGAAGAAAAGACACAGUCCAGAACAUCAACCUUCUGCAACACAGGGCAGUGAAGGAGCUUCAUGAAGCAUACCAUAGGAUGCAGAAUGUGGGCGGAGUCUCGCCACGUGACAUAGAAUGUGGGAGGAGUCUCGCCGUGACAUAGAAUGUGGGUAGAGUCUCGCCAUGUGACAUAGAAUGUGUGCGGAGUCUCACCAUGUGACAUAGAAUGUGAGCAGAGUCUCACCAUGUGACAUAGAAUGUGGGUAGUCUCGCCAUGUGACAUAGAAUGUGAGCGGAGUCUCACCAUGUGACAUAGAAUGUGAGCAGAGUCUCACCAUAAUGUGGGUGGAGUUGUGGGACACAGAUCAUAGCAUGUGACAGAAUGUACGUGUCUCGUGGCCAUGUGCAGAUUCACAUAUGAGGAUGAAUGUUGGCGGAGUCUGAUAUUCCACAGGUGCAUUUUGAAAUUUUGUUGGAUGCUGAAUGCAACUGACAGAGUUGCCUCCCUCAAGUGUUGAUAGAAACUCAAAGCAAAAGGGUGCUGUGAAAGGGACCUUUUCCAGAUUUUACAACAGAAAAAGACACAGGCAGUUACUUUGCAGCAUCCUCUAUUAUCAAAUUUGUCAUGUCUCUAUUGUAUUAUGCCAAGUGGUUCAGGUGUUUGUUCGUCAUGGUAAUAGCCUGUUUGUAGAGCACUGACACAAGUACAAUGUGCUUGCCCACAUCUGGUGUCCCAUGACGUGGUACUACUCGAACACGGCAAAAGUGAUGCAAAAUUGUACUCUCCUUCAUUUCCCUCUAUAGCCUCAGUUUGGAAGUGAUGUCACAUCUCCUGUCUCUUACAAUGCCUUCUAAACCCAAAAUCUGUCGUAAUAGAACUGAGACAUAUACACUAGAUAUUUAAGGCUAUUUGGAAUGUGGACUUGUUUUACUGAAAUAAAAUGUCAUAGUGAUGUCAGUAUUCUGUAGUAUCUGUGGCUCCAAUAAUAGACGUGAAGGUCGAAACUUUGAGAAUUGAUUGCACAGAUUAGUCAGAAUACAGGGAUUUUCCUGGGCUAUUUUUCUGUUGUUAAUUAGUGGUCCAUUGGACUCCCAACUGUGUAACUGUAGUGGUGUGAGUGUGAAAACUAUGUCUCCCACACAAAUAGGGGCCUGAGAGAAAUAAUGAAAGUUUAAUAUCAUACUCAACCGCAGUUGACACAAGAUUGCUCAUGUUCAGAGUCUGUUAGUUGAAAAUAGAGAUCUCCAUCUAAAUACUUGUGUUAAAUCAUGAAACAGUCAACAGUUUUGCAGUUAUUAAAUGAUACGUGGAAAGUCAUUAUUUUGCAGGGAUGGGGGUGUUAGCUUGAGAUUUGGUGCUUCCCUGCACAAUUGGUUCUAAAUUAAAUGAAAAGGGAAAAUAUAUACAGGUAACCAACCCACCAGCAACAGAAUAUGGUCUCUGUCACACUACAGGGUUCGCUCAAGCUCAACACAUCGGUAGGGCAAUAUGUGGAUGGUGAGAACCAACCAGAAAUAUUAAUUUCACUUUAUAUUCAACUCCUACUGCAUCAGACAUGCAGUUUUCCUGUGUGAGCGUGAACCCUGUUGUGACUGAAUUGUUGUCUACCCAACAACAGUUGUUUCACAAAUUGUAAACACUAAAUAUGAUUAUUGUUUCGCUCAGGUAUUUAUGUGGGUUUUUAUACAAACCAGGAUGCAACAUUAAGUGAAUUUAUUAAUAUACCCUACUUAAGAAAUGACUGUUCGUUGUGUAGGGCACCUGUCAUGGCAGGUUUAAGUUUUUAUAGCACCUCUAUUUGUUGUAUGUAUAUUUUGUACUGACGAAUUCUCUGUGUUUCAGAAAUAAAAGAUCUGAAAUAUG
rnacentral:misc_RNA from 1 species